AGUUUCUUCUUCUUCUUCUUGGUGGGUGAGUAGUCGCUACCUUCGCUCUCUGACUUCUCUUCCAGGUCCUCCUCAUUUUCUGACAUCUCGUCAUUGCUCCCCUGGAAAAGGCAUGGGGAGUGGUGAGGGCGCAGGACACCCCAGAAUGCCGGAGACCUGGGGCAGCAAGGCCUGGUUAAGUUACUCGGCCACCAACUUUCUUCACCCAUUGUGCACUGGUGAAGGAGCACAAGCAGAGUAGAGAACUUCCAAUGAAGCAACAUCCCAUCAAUUAGCUGAGGUUGGACAUGUCACCAAUCAAUUAUUGUCGCUGAGGUCUUCCCUGCAGUCCGGCUGGGACAACCCCACCCAUAGGCUCUCUUAGGCUCUCCCGGAAGCUCAGCUCAGUCUCCCUCAUAGAAGACUGCACCUGUCACCUGCUAAUCGAUCACCAAGUCAGCACGCUGACAAGGUCUCCUUGCUUUCUCAGAAUACUGACUCUGCCCUGGACCCAGGGGGCAACUCCCAGCUCCCACGCCUGUCGGUAACAUGGAACCCCGUAGCCACAGUUCCCAGUGGAAUUCAGAUGGGGAACAGUCCCUUCCCCCAAGGUAACAGAGACCAGCCAGCUCUUCAAGAUCAUGUCCAAGAGAUAGAGAGAGAGAGAGAGAGAGAGAGAGAGAGAGAGAGAGAGAGAGAGCGUGU
ensembl:processed_transcript Gm13645 predicted gene 13645